AUGCCAUGGUGAGGGAUUUGCCUAAGUAAUUCUUUGUAUCUUUCUCAUGCUUCAAAUAGUGACUCAUCGUCUCCUUGCCUAAAUGAGGUGAUUUCAUUUCUCAUGUU